rnacentral:tRNA from 1 species
AGAAAUAUGUCUGAUAAAAGAGUUACUUUGAUAGAGUAAA